AUAUAGGGCCUGAUCCAAAGCCCAUUGAACCAAUGGAUAUCUUUUUAUUGAGUUCAGUGGGCUUUGGAUCAGGCCUUUAGUAU
rnacentral:pre_miRNA from 1 species